rnacentral:rRNA from 1 species
GGGUUUGAAACUUCCGGCUUCUGGGUUUCCUGGAAGGCAAUGCCACCCUUGGUUUGUCCCAAUAGAUUGUCCCACGGGCAACCAAAAGUGGGAGACCCCUUCCGAGUAGCCCUAAUGCUGGUUGUUCACAAAUCUCUGAAUGUGAAUAGAAUGUUUUGAAUUCUUGGGAAAAUACAAUACGAAACUUUUCAGCAACGGAUCUCUUGGCUCUCGCAUCGAUGAAGAACGCAGCGAAAUGCGAUAAGUAAUGUGAAUUGCAGAAUUCAGUGAAUCAUCGAAUCUUUGAACGCAUCUUGCGCUCCUUGGUAUUCCGAGGAGCAUGCCUGUUUGAGUGUCAUUUAAAGCUUCUCAACCAUUUGGAGUCUCUCCGGGUGGCUUGGAAAUGGGGGAUGUGCAGGCCAGCAAUGGUCUGCUCCCCUGAAAUGAAUUAGUGGCAUCUGAGCAGAGACUACCACAGGUGUGAUAACUAUUGAUCAAUGCCUUGGUAUAUACUGCAGGUUGUUGCUGCUUCUAAUGUUAAAUUAACCCCAUUGGACAAACUUGACCUCAAAUCAGGUAGGAUUACCCGCUGAACUUAAGCAUAUCAAUAAGCGGAGGAAAAGAAACUAACAAGGAUUCCCCUAGUAACUGCGAGUGAAGCGGGAAAAGCUCAAAUUUGAAAUCUGGCAGUCAUUCGGCUGUCCCGAGUUGUGAUUUCAUAGAGAAGU